rnacentral:rRNA from 1 species
AGUGAACGCUGGCGGUAGGCCUAACACAUGCAAGUCGAACGGCAGCACAGUAAGAGCUUGCUCUUACGGGUGGCGAGUGGCGGACGGGUGAGGAAUACAUCGGAAUCUACUUUUUCGUGGGGGAUAACGUAGGGAAACUUACGCUAAUACCGCAUACGACCUACGGGUGAAAGCAGGGGAUCUUCGGACCUUGCGCGAUUGAAUGAGCCGAUGUCGGAUUAGCUAGUUGGCGGGGUAAAGGCCCACAAAGGCGACGAUCCGUAGCUGGUCUGAGAGGAUGAUCAGCCACACUGGAACUGAGACACGGUCCAGACUCCUACGGGAGGCAGCAGUGGGGAAUAUUAGACAAUGGGCGCAAGCCUGAUCCAGCCAUACCGCGUGAGUGAAGAAGGCCUUCGGGUUGUAAAGCCCUUUUGUUAGGAAAGAAAAGCAGCAGGUUAAUACCCCGCUGUUCUGACGGUACCCAAAGAAUAAGCACCGGCUAACUUCGUG